GAGAUCCAAUACCUCCUGUCUAAUCCAGCCAGGAGUGCAUCUAGUGCGUGGAGCUUGCAUGGUCAAUUGGGCAGCUGCACACAACAGGAGAGAGCUACUAGGUGAACUCGUCAAGAGUGACAACUGAACAAUGGGAGCAUACAUGAACUUUCAGAGAGGAACUAA